CAGCCGCCACGGUAAUACAGAGGGUGCGAGCGUUAAUCGGAUUUACUGGGCGUAAAGCGUGCGUAGGCGGCUUUUUAAGUCGGAUGUGAAAUCCCUGAGCUUAACUUAGGAAUUGCAUUCGAUACUGGGAAGCUAGAGUAUGGGAGAGGAUGGUAGAAUUCCAGGUGUAGCGGUGAAAUGCGUAGAGAUCUGGAGGAAUACCGAUGGCGAAGGCAGCCAUCUGGCCUAAUACUGACGCUGAGGUACGAAAGCAUGGGGAGCAAACAGGAUUAGAUACCCCAGUAGUCCCUGUCUCUUAUAC
rnacentral:rRNA from 1 species